UGGGCUAGACAACGGCGGACCGUCCUAGAAAUAGGAUCUUCCCUUCGGGGACUGCCGGUUCAGGUGCUGCAUGGCUGUCGUCAGCUCGUGCCGUGAGGUGUUGGGUUAAGUCCCGCAACGAGCGCAACCCUCGUCCUUAGUUGCCACCAUUCAGUUGGGCACUCUAAGGAGACUGCCGGCGUUAAGCCGGAGGAAGGUGGGGAUGACGUUGCGGCAUUAGCCA
rnacentral:misc_RNA from 1 species